UCUUUUCUGGUGAUGAAACCAAUAACGGAUGUAAGCAAGCAUGUCUUGUCUUGACCGAGAGCGCAAAACCGUGUGGAUAUCCCGUUGCCUUCCUUCUGAUCUCAU
rnacentral:snoRNA from 1 species